rnacentral:lncRNA from 1 species
GCUGGCUGGACCCCUGGUCUGUUCACUUUCUCUGUGUAGAAGGGAGAGCCCAUUGCACACAGCCUGCCUUCCUGUUGGUGGACAGGGCCAUUCAGAAGCAAGGCCACCCAGGGAGGAGAGAACUAGACCAGCAGUAGGAUCUUCUGUGGAGGGAGCAUUUCUAUUCUCUCUCCUAGGCUGUGAAAGUCUCCUGCCUGUCUUUGCAUACACUCUGCCCUCCUGCUCCUGAGUUAUAAUCUCCUUUGCCACCAGUUACCUUUUCAAGACCCAGAUCUGGUCAUUGCAAGAUACACAUCCACCACCGUCACCCCAGCCUCCAAUCCUUCAGAGGCCUCCCAGUGUUCUGGGAAGAACCAAACUCAAGUGCGUGGGACUGAGUAUGGUCUGGCCCUGGCUGCCCUCCCCAGCCUUAAGCCAUCACCUAACAGGACUGGCCUUUCCAACCACCAUGCUCCCUCCUGUGAAAAGUCUUCUGGACGCACUGUUCCCUCUGCCUGGGACACUCUUCUGUCCCCCUUUCCCCGCUUUAGCUCUUGCUCAAGGGCUGUUUCCUCAGGGAGGUCUUCUCUAACACCUCUGACCAGGUCAGAUAUCUCUAGUGCAAGUUCUCCUGGCUCCUUGGCCUGAUCUUUCGCGGCACAGAACAACAGUGCAAUUAACAUUUAUUUGCGUCAGUAUUUGGUUAGUUGUGAGCUCCAUGUGGGCAAGGGCAGUGAGUGCUUUUGCUCACCAUUAUAUCCCUAGACAUCCUGGCUCAGUAAGUAUUUGUUGAAUGAAUGAAUGUUAGUCACUUUACUCAAGCUUGGUAAUUCAUGCAUUCAGUCAACAGAACCCAAACAUUGAACACCCAUGGUUCCCUACCUACACUUGAACAUGAGAAUCAGAGCACCCUUUCCUUCUGGACAGUGUAGGGAACACCAUGACGUUGUCUUAUUAAUUAGCUCACCUUCUUUGCUUCAAGCAGACUUUUACUACGAUAUUAUCUCACCCAAGAUACAAUUAAUUGGGUGAAACUGGGACUCAGGCUUGAAAUCUGCCCUAUGAUAACAUUCUAAGUACUCACAGUUUUCAAAGCACCUUCUACAUUCCUUCCUUAAGAUACAAUGAUGACUCUGAAGUUUGCCGAGUGGAUCCUACAGAUUAUGGACUGAGAUUCCAAGAUAGGAAGAAAUGUGCUCAAGGUCCCAUGGCUUGUGAGGCUCUAAUCGCACCAAGAACAUGUUUAUUUUUAAGUUCAUACCCAAAUUGUGGGGGGACACACCUAGUCUGAGGCUCAAAGCCUAACAUGCACUCACUAUUACAGGUUCUAGCAUUUGUCUCACUUCUAAAAGUUUCGGUUCUAUAAUUUUCUGAUUAAUUUGUAAUUACUAUAAGGACCAAGGGGAGGUGGCCUACUUGUGAGUGACAUCUCCUUAACAGGUCACUGCAAAAUCUGAUGCCCUAGGGGUGUGUUCCAAAAUUGGGUCCUGUUCACACAUCAUUCUGUAGAAUGACUUAGUUAAUCCCUCUGUGUCUGUCCACUCCUUUCUUUCAAUUUCUGUAACAACUUAGAUGUCUUCCAAAGGAUUGACAGUGAAAAACUGACCCUCUCCUGAGGUGCUUUGGUAAAAAUGCAGUUUUUGAUUCAACAGACUCAAGAAGAGCUAUAGCAGAGAGUGAGAUGUGGCAUUUCCAACAAGCCCCCUUCAGAAGUCCGAUGUUGGUGGCCCCCAGACCACACUUUUGAAGACAAAGGUAUUAGAAAAAAAAAUGUUUUAACCCUGGAAGAAUAUUACAUGGAGUUGAGAUAGUCUCCUCAAACUGAAAAAUGUUUUAAUUUUACUCGUUAAUUUUCUAUUCACCUCCCAUAGUUGUAGUUGCAUGUUAUUUUGUGAUGGAUGCUAUUGCUUCCAUAUUGAAAACUUUUUAAUGAAUCGAAUGUUUUAUCCUCGUAGGAAAGCACUCCUUAAUUAAAGUUAACCAAAUUCUGGGUGUAAAUAGGCAUUUCAGGAUUUGCUUUCACUGUGGCAGAAAAAAAUAAUGACUCUACAGCUUUUGGAAACAUUUCAAUAUUCUGACCAACAUUGGUGGCUGAAUAAUAGGUGGGGCUGAGGAGUCAGAGUAUAACUGGGGGUCCCUUGCACUCAAACCAUCUAUGAUCCAACAGGGAAUGCUGUUUCUUCAGGCGUCACAGAUCAAAUAUCAGAAGGAGACUAAAAGACUCAAAAUGAGUAAGGGAGUCUUUAAUAUUCAGAUUGUACAGGAGCAGCAAUAGUCACCAACAAGAGUGGAGGAGAUGUAAGACUACCCGGUCUGCUGAAUCCGGAGGAAGAGAACAAAGAUCUAGCUUCACGGUAGCUACGUUGAUGACCAUUCCCAUGAGUCCUUGUUAUUGACUUUAUUUAUGCUUUAAGUUGGCUUCAAGGCUUCUUCCAUCAUAAGGUCAGAGUUGGCCAUCUCUUAACCUCAAGAGAGAUAUCCUUCAGUCCCCAAAGUGCCGUUGUCUUAAAAGUGACCACAAUCAAAAUUAUGGGGAUUGCAUUUCUAGGCGCUGCUCUGGUGCCUUCCAGUUUGAGAGCAAUCCUUUAAUGGAAAAACCUGUGUCUGCUAAACUGGGACAAAUGGAGAUUGUCUUUUCCCUCAGUUGCCUCCUGGAAUGGCACCUAGGAGGAUGGCAGAGCUAUGUCUAAUGGAAAAGGGAGUCUGGCUCCACAUGUUGGGAUGAAAAGAAAGAUGAGCUAUUAAGUAAUCCUCUCUGUUUCUGUAGCAAGCUCUGAACUCUAGGCCUACAUCUCUCUCAAAGCAAUUAUGUGAGCUCUCCUAAUAGGCUUCCCACUCCUGCCCUCCUCCAAGCUACUUAACACAAUGAUUUCUGAUCAAUAUUCCCAUACAUCAAUGCUCACAUGAUGCUCUUGCUGAAAACACUCAGUGGCUGCCCAUUGCCCACAGAAUAGGGUACAACAUUUUAUCCGGUAUUUAAGGCACUCUGCACAUGACCUUAACUUGUUUAUCCAAACUUAUCUCUCACUCCUCCUCAACGUAAGCCCAUCACUCAAGCCAAAUUAUCUUAAUGCUUCCAAGUUAGUUAAUGGCUCCAUGCUUCCAUUUCCUCAAUGUGGACCAAAAUAAUAACUUAUCUUAUUGGGUUAUUGUGAAUUAGGUGAGUUAAUAAAUUAUAAGAUGCCUAGGACAAUGCCUGGCACACGGAAAGGGCCUGUAAUGGGGUGGAUGGUGGCCCUCCAGAAGAUGUGCCUGUGUCCUAAUUCCUGGCAACUGCGAAUGUUACCUUAUUUGGAAAAGGGAUCCUUUGAAGGUGUAAUUAAGGAUCUUGAGAUGAAAAGAUCAUCCUGGAUUAUCUGAAUCCGGCCCUGAAUCCAAUGACAAAUAUACUAAUAAGAGACACAUGGGGUGACUAGACAAAACAGAAGAUCAUGUGAGGGUGGAGACAGAUUGCUAAGGAAUGCCAAUAGCCACCAGAUGCUGGAAGAGGCAAGACAAGAAAUCUCCUCUAGAGCACGGUUUUGCCACCACCUUGAUUUCAGACUUCUGCCUUCAUAAGUGUGAGAGAAUAAAUUUCUGUCAUGUUAAGCCACUAUGUUUGUGGUAAUUUGUUAUGGCAGCCACAGGAAACAUAUAUGGGGCCCAUUAUAUCCUGGCCAUUACUGUCACCAAUUAAUCCCUAAAUGUGCCUUUUCUUUUUCCUCUCAGCAUCAUUUUUUAUCUCACUGUUCUCUUUAAGUGUCUAGCAUAGUACCUUGCAAUUAGAAAACAGAAUAGGUAUGUAUUGAACAAAAUAUAUAUUAAAAGAGAGAAAGAGGGAUGCUUGGGUGGCUCAGCAAUUGAGCUCUGCCUUUGGCUCAGGGCAUGAUCCUGGAGUCCUGGGAUCAAGUCCCACAUUGGGCUCCCUGCAUGGAGCUUGCUUCUCUCUCUGCCUGUGUCUCUGCUUCUCUCUCUGU